rnacentral:rRNA from 2 species
GAUUACCCGCUGAACUUAAGCAUAUCAAUAAGCGGAGGAAAGGGCGAUUUCUGAAAAUAU